rnacentral:rRNA from 1 species
GCACGUAUUAGCCGGUGCUUUUUCUGCAGGUACCGUCACUCUCGCUUCUUCCCUGCCAAAAGAGGUUUACAACCCGAAGGCCUUCAUCCCUCACGCGGCGUUGCUGCUUCAGGGUUUCCCCCAUUGAGCAAAAUUCCCGA